UUUCAGGCAAAACACAGGAAAAUUUGAAAACGCUGAAAACACGCCCAAAUGAAAAACACCUUCCUCUUUCUCUCCCGAAAGAGACAUUCCACACCCAUUUUCUCUAGGAUUUGCUCUUCCUUCCCGAAUUCUCUAUGGUUUGCUUCGUUCCCGAGAGCUGCCACAAGCUUCUCGACGUCGUCAGCGGAGUAGAGGGCUGAAUCAAGUGCGAUUUUGAAGAUUCCUCGUCUCCGAUUUUCUGCUCCAUACCAUCAUCAAAUCUAGGUAGAGGUGAUUAUAGAAAUGGUGGCGACCAGGACAGGCAUCCAAGUGGAGCACCCAGACGUGGACGUGGGCACGGCCAAGGUGGUAGAGGAAAUGACAGGCAAGAUUCAGACCGUGGCUCACAAAAGUGGGGUUCUAAGGAUGGUGAUGAUACUGGUGGAUUUAAUCUUUGAAUUGCUGGUGGCUGAGCUAAUUAAUUUUGUAAUUCCAUUGUCAUUAGACUUGGAAUAUUUCCCAUUGCUUUGUAUGCAACACCUAGUCCAUUAAUUAUGUCAAUGUACUAUGGUAGUUUUGUUGGUCAGAAUGUUUAUAUGAUUGCCUUUACAAGAAAAUAUAAUUGCCUUUUGAAUUUAA